UACGGGGGGAGCAAGGCGUUGUUCGGAUUUACUGGGCGUAAAGGGCGCGUAGGCGGUCAGUGCAAGUCAGUUGUGAAAUCUCCGGGCUUAACUCGGAACGGUCAACUGAUACUGCUCGAUUAGAGUGCGGAAGGGGCAACUGGAAUUCUUGGUGUAGCGGUGAAAUGCGUAGAUAUCAAGAGGAACACCUGCGGCGAAGGCGGGUUGCUGGGCCGACACUGACGCUGAUGCGCGAAAGCCAGGGGAGCGAACGGG
rnacentral:rRNA from 1 species